rnacentral:sRNA from 1 species
AUGUUUUUUCACGGAUCUCUCAUGAAUGGCCUUAUUGGACCCAGUCCUCAUCUCCCACAUAAUUCUUUGCCACCUGGAAGCGGACUGGGAGCUUUCUCUGCAAUUGCACAAUCCCCUUAUCCUGAUGCCAGGGAUAAAAAUUCAGCCUUUAAUCCAAUGGCAAGUGAUCCUAACAACUCUUGGACAUCAUCAGCUCCCACUGUGGAGGAGAAAAUGACACAAUGUCGAAUGCCCAGAGAAGCACGCUUAAGUGGGAGAAAGAGGAGGCUCUGGGUGAAAUGGCAACAGUUGCCCCAGUUCUCUACACCAAUAUUAAUUUCCCCAACUUAAAGGAAGAAUUCCCUGAUUGGACUACUAGAGUGAAGCAAAUUGCCAAAUUGUGGAGCAAAAAGAAAGAGACAUAUAUGCAAAAAGCCAGAGAUAACAGAGCUGCUUUACGUAUUAAUAAAGUACAGAUGUCAAAUGAUUCCAUGAAAAGGCAGCAACAGCAAGAUAGCAUUGAUCCCAGCUCUCGUGUUGAUUCGGAGCUUUUAAAUCCUUUAAAAGCAAAAGAAUCAGAACAUGACAGGAAUGGAAAUUUAGACAGCAAAUGCAUCAGAAAAGUAAGCAGCAAGCCUGAAAUUGAAGCACACAGAAACUUGAACAGGUGAAAAAUGAGCAGCAGCAGCAGCAACAACAGCAGUUUGGUUCUCAGCAUCUUCUGGUCAGUCUGGUUCAGAUACACCAAGUAGUGGGAUACAGAGUCCUUUGACACUCAGCCUGGCAAUGGAAAUAUGUCUCCUGCACAGUCAUUCCAUAAAGAACUGUUUACAAAAACAGCCACCCAGUACCCCUACGUCUACAUCUUCAGAUGAUGUGUUUGUAAAACCACAGCUCCACCUCCCUCCUCCAGCCCCAUCCCGGAUUCCCAUCCAGGAUAGUCUUUCUCAGGCUCAGACUUCUCAGCACCUUCACAACAAGUGUUUUCACCUGGGUCCUCUAACUCAGGACCACCAUUCCAAUGGAUUCCAUAUGCAAAAAUGGUUGGUAACCCCUUGACCAUCUCCUGUGGGCCAUAGUUUUUCCAGAAGAAAUUCUGCUGCACCAGUGGAAAACUGUACACCCUUUAUCAUCGGUAUCUAGGCCCUUCAAAUGAAUGAUACAACAGCAAAUAGGCCAUCCCCAGUCAGAGAUUUAUGUUUUCCUCCACGACAAAUAAUGACCCUAUGCAAACCUCCAGACACACCUAGGCCUGUGAUGACAGAUCAAUUUCCCAAAUCCUUGGGCCUAUCCGUCUCCUGUAGUUUCAGAACAAUUGCAAAAGGCCCUGUAGCAGCUGGAACCAAUGAUCACUUUACUAAACCAUCUCCUAGGGCAGAUGUGUUCAAAGACAAAGGCUACCUGACUCAUACGCACGACCCUUGUUGACACCUGCACCUCUUGAUAGUGGUCCUGGACCUUUUAAGACUCUAAUGCAACCUCCUCCAUCCUCUCAGGAUCUUGUGAAUCAGUGUCACAGGCAUCAAGGCGAUUGUCCUGUUGACCCUUAUGAAAGGCCUGCUUGACACCAAGACCUAUAGAUAAUUUUUCUCAUAAUCAGUCAAAUGAUCCAUAGAGUCAGCCUCCCCUAAUCCACAUCAGCAAUGAAUGAAUCUUUUGCCCAUCCUUCAAGGGCUUUUUCCCAGCCUGGAACCAUAUCAAGGCCAACAUCUCAGACCAUACUCCCAAUCCCAGGAACUCCACAAGCUGUUGUAGAUUCUUAUUCCAAUCUUCAGGAACAGCUAGGUCAUACAGACCCUUACUCUCAACCUCCCUGGAACCCCCGGCCUACUACUGUUGACCCAUAUAGUCAGCAGCCCCAACCCCAAAAUCUACACAAACUGACUUGUUUGUUACACCUGUAACUAAUCAGAGGCAUUCUGAUCCGUAUGCUCAUCCUCCUGGAACACCAAGACCUGGAAUUUCUGUCCCUUACUUCAGCCACCAGCAACACCAAGGCCAAGGAUUUCAGAGGGUUUUACUAGGUCCUCAAUGACAAGACAGUCCUCUGCCAAAUCAGGAUCCUUUCCUGCAAGCAGCACAAAACCGAGGACCAGCUUUACCUGGCCUGUUGGUAAGGCCACCUGAUACAAUGUUCCCAGACACCCUAGGCCCCCUGCACCUGGUCUUUCAGACACAUUUAGCCGUGUUUCCCCAUCUGCUGCCCGUGAUCCCUAUGAUCAGCCCCAAUGACUCCAAGAUUCAGUCUGACUCUUUUGGAACAAGUCAAACUGCCCAUGAUGUUGCUGAUCAGCCAAGGCCUGGAUCAGAGGGGAGCUUCUGUGCAUCUUCAAACUCUCCAAUGCACUUCCAAGGCCAGCAGUUCUCUGGUGUCUCCCAGCUUCCUGGACCUGUGCCAACUUCAGGAGUAACUGAUACACAGAAUACUGUAAAUAUGACUCAAUACAGAGAAAUUGAGACAGCGGCAGAAGUUACGUGAAAUCAUUCUCCAGCAGCAACAGCAGCAGAAGAUUGCAGUCGACAGGAGAAGGGGUCACAGGAUUCACCCGCAGUGCCUCAUCCAGGGCCUCUUCAACACUGGCAACAAGAGAAUGUUAACCAGGCUUUACCAGACCCCCACCACUCCUAUCCUGGAACAUUAGGUCUCCUGUUGCCCUCUUUAGGACCUAGAUAUGCUGUUUCCCAAAAGAUCAGCGUGGACCCUAUCCUCCUGAUGUUGCUAGUAUGGGGAUGAGACCUCAUGGAUUUAGAUUUGGAUUUCCAGGAGGUAGUCAUGGUACCAUGCCGAGUCAAGAGCGCUUCCUUGUGCCUCCUCAACAAAUACAGGGAUCUGGAGUUUCUCCACAGCUAAGAAGAUCAAUAUCUGUAGAUAUGCCUAGGCCUUUAAAUAACUCACAGAUGAAUAAUCCAGUUGGACUUCCUCAGCAUUUUUCACCACAGAGCUUGCCAGUUCAGCAGCACAACAUACUGGGCCAAGCAUAUAUUGAACUGAGACAUAGGGCUUCUGACGGAAGGCAAUGACUGCCUUUCAUUGCACCACCUGGCAGCGUUGUAGAGGCAUCUUCUAAUCUGAGACAUGGAAACUUCAUUCCCCGGCCAUACUUUCCGGGCCCUAGACACACAGAGCCCAUGAGACGACCUCCCCAAGGUCUACCUAAUCAGCUACCUGUGCACCCAGAUUUGGAACAAGUGCCACCAUCUCAACAAGAGCAAGGUCAUUCUGUCCAUUCAUCUUCUAUGGUCAUGAGGACUCUGAACCAUCCACUAGGUGGUGAAUUUUCAGAAGCUCCUUUGUCAACAUCUGUACCAUCUGAAACAACGUCUGAUAAUUUACAGAUAGCCACCCAACCUUCUGAUGGUCUAGAAGAACUCGAUUCUGAUGACCCUUCUGUGAAAGAACUGGAUGUUGAAGACCUUGAGGGGGUUGAAGUCAAAGACUUAGAUGAUGAAGAUCUUGAAAACUUAAAUUUAGAUACAGAGGAUGGCAAGGUAGUUGAAUUGGAUACUUUAGAUAAUUUGGAAACUAAUGAUCCCAACCUGGAUGACCUCUUAAGGUCAGGAGAGUUUGAUAUCAUUGCAUAUACAGAUCCAGAACUUGACAUGGGAGAUAAGAAAAGCAUGUUUAAUGAGGAAGUAGACCUUCCAAUUGAUGAUAAGUUAGAUAAUCAGUGUGUAUCUGUUGAACCAAAAAAAAGGAACAAGAAGACAAAACUCUGGUUCUCUCUGAUAAACAUUCACCACAGAAAAAAUCCACUGUUACCAAUGAGGUAAAAACAGAAGUACUGUCUCCAAAUUCUAAGGUGGAAUCCAAAUGUGAAAUUGAAAAAAGUGAUGAGAAUAAAGAUAAUGUUGACACUCCUUGCUCACAGGCUUCUGCUCACUCAGACCUAAAUGAUGUUGAAAAGACUUCUUUGCAUCCUUGGGAUCCAGAUCUAUUUGAGAAAAGAACCAAUCGAGAAACUGCUGGCCCCGGUGCAAAUGUCAUUCAAGCAUCCACUCAACUACCUGCUCAAGAUGUAAUAAACUUGUGGCAUAACUGGAUCAACUCCAGUUCUCUCAAGUUUACUUGCUAAUGAGAAAUCUGAUAAUUCAGACAUUAGGCCAUUGAGGUCUCCACCACCAACUCUGCUGGCCUCACCAUCCAAUCGUGUCAAGUUUGCCUCCUUUAAUAGCACCGCCUGGCCAUGUUUUGGAUAAUACCAUGAAUUCUAAUGUAACAGUAGUCUCUAGGGUAAACCAUGUUUUUUCUCAGGGUGUGCAGGUAAAUCCAGGAUUCAUUCCAGGUCAAUCAACAGUUAACCACAAUCUGGGGACAGGAAAACCUACAACUCAAACUGGGCCUCUAACAAGUCAGUCUGGUACCAGUAGCAUGUCUGGACCCCAACAGCUAAUGAUUCCUCAAACAUUAGCACAGCAGAAUAGAGAGAGGCCCCUUCUUCUAGAAGAACAGCCUCUACUUCUACAGGAUCUUUUGGAUCAAGAAAGGCAAGAACAGCAGCAGCAAAGACAGAUGCAAGCCAUGAUUUGUCAGCGAUCAGAACCAUUCUUCCCUAAUAUUGAUUUUGAUGCAAUUACAGAUCCUAUAAUGAAAGCCAAAAUGGUGGCCCUUAAAGGCAUAAAGUGAUGGCACAAAACAAUCUGGGCAUGCCACCAAUGGUGAUGAGCAGGUUCCCUUUUAUGGGCCAGGCGGUAACUGGAACACAGAACAGUGAAGGACAGAACCUUGGACCACAGGCCGUUCCUCAGGAUGGCAGUAUAACACAUCAGAUUUCUAGGCCUAAUCCUCCAAAUUUUGGUCCAGGCUUUGUCAAUGAUUCACAGCAUAAGCAGUAUGAAGAGUGGCUCCAGGAGACCCAACAGCUGCUUCAAAUGCAGCAGAAGUAUCUUGAAGAACAAAUUGGUGCUCACAGAAAAUCUAAGAAGGCCCUUUCAGCUAAACAACGUACUGCCAAGAAAGCUGGGCGUGAAUUUCCAGAGGAAGAUGCAGAACAACUCAAGCAUGUUACUGAAUAGCAAAGCAUGGUUCAGAAACAGCUAGAACAGAUUCGUAAACAACAGAAAGAACAUGCUGAAUUGGUUGAAGAUUAUCGGAUCAAACAGCAGCAACAGCAGCAGCAAUGUGCGAUGGCCCCACCUACCAUGAUGCCCAUUGUCCAGCCCCAGCCACCCCUAAUUCCAGGUGCCACUCCACCCACCAUGAGCCAACCCGCCUUUCCCAUGGUGCCACAGCAGCUUCAGCACCAGCAGCACACAACAGUUAUUUCUGGCCAUACUAGCCCUGUUAGAAUGCCCAGUUUACCUGGAUGGCAACCCAACAGUGCUCCUGCCCACCUGCCCCUCAAUCCUCCUAGAAUUCAGCCCCCAAUUGCCCAAUUACCAAUAAAAACUUGUACACCAGCCCCAGGGACAGUCUCAAAUGCAAAUCCACAGAGUGGACCACCACCUUGGGUAGAAUUUGAUGACAACAAUCCCUUUAGUGAAAGUUUUCAAGAACGGGAACGUAAGGAAUGUUUACGAGAACAGCAAGAGAGACAACAGAUCCAACUCAUGCAGGAGGUAGAUAGACAAAGAGCUUUGCAGCAGAGGAUGGAAAUGGAGCAGCAUGGCAUGGUGGGCUCUGAGAUAAGUAGUAGUAGGACAUCUGUGUCCCAGAUUCCCUUCUACAGUUCCGACUUACCUUGUGAUUUUAUGCAACCUCCAAGACCCCUUCAGCAGUCUCCACAACACCAACAGCAAAUGGGGCAGGUUUUACAGCAGCAGAGUAUACAACAAGGAUCAAUUAAUUCACCCUCCACCCAAACUUUCAUGCAGACUAAUGAGCGAAGGCAGGUAGGGCCUCCUUCAUUUGUUCCUGAUUCACCAUCAAUCCCUGUUGGAAGCCCAAAUUUUUCUUCUGUUAAGCAGGGACAUGGAAAUCUUUCUGGGACCAGCUUCCUGCAGUCCCCAGUGAGGCCUUCUUUUACACCUGCUUUACCAGCAGCACCUCCAGUAGCUAAUAGCAGUCUCCCAUGUGGCCAAGAUUCUACUAUAACCCAUGGACACAGUUAUCCAGGAUCAACCCAAUCGCUCAUUCAGUUGUGUUCUGAUAUAAUCCCAGAGGAAAAAGGGAAAAAGAAAGAAGAAAAGAGAUGAUGAUGCAGAAUCCACCAAGGCUCCAUCAACUCCCCAUUCAGAUAGAACUGCCCCACCGACUCCAGGCAUCUCAGAAACUACCUCUACUCCUACAGUGAGCACACCCAGUGAGCUUCCUCAACAAGCCCACCAAGAGUCAGUGGAACCAGUCGGCCCAUCCACUCCCAAUAUGGCAGCAGGCCAGCUAGGUACAGAAUUAGAGAACGAACUGCCCAAUAGUGAUUUCUCACAAGCAACUCCAAAUCAACAGACUUACGCAAAUUCAGAAGUAGAUAAGCUCUCCAUAGGAACCCCUGCCAAAACAGAAGAGAGAAAACUGGAAAAGGCUGAGACAGAGUCCUGCCCAGGCCAAGAGGAGCCUAACUUGGAGGAACAGAAUGGUAGUAAAGUAGAAGGAAAUGCUGUAGCCUGUCCUGUCUCCUCAGCACAGAGUCCUCCCCAUUUUGCUGGGGCCCCUGCUGCCAAAGGAGACUCAGGGAAUGAACUUCUGAAACACUUGUUGAAAAAUAAAAAGUCAUCUUCUCUUUUGAAUCAAAAACCUGAGGGCAGUAUUUGUUCAGAAGAUGACUGUACAAAGGAUAAUAAACCAGUUGAGAAGCAGAACCCAGCUGAAGGACUGCAAACUUUGGGGGCUCAAAUGCAAGGUGGUUUUGGAUGUGGCAACCAGUUGCCAAAAACAGAUGAAGGAAGUGAAACCAAGAAACAGCAAAGCAAAUGGACUCAGAGGACGGGUGAGAAAGCAGCACCUCGCUCAAAGAAAAGGAAAGAGGACGAAGAGGAGAAACAAGCUAUGUACUCUAGCACUGACACAUUUGCCCACUUGAAACAGGUGAGGCAGCGCUCUCUGCUCCCUCUAAUGGAACCAAUCAUUGGAGUGAACUUUGCGCACUUCCUUCCUUAUGGCAGUGGCCAGUUUAAUAGUGGGAAUCAACUUCUAGGAACUUUUGGCAGUGCUACCCUGGAAGGGGUUUCGGACUACUAUUCUCAGUUGAUCUACAAACAGAAUAAUUUAAGUAAUCCUCCAACACCCCCUGCCUCUCUUCCUCCUACACCACCUCCUAUGGCUUGUCAGAAGAUGGCCAAUGGUUUUGCAACAACUGAAGAACUUGCUGGAAAAGCCGGAGCGUUAGUGAGCCAUGAAGUUACCAAAACUCUAGGACCUAAACCAUUUCAGCUGCCCUUCAGACCCCGGGACGACUUGUUGGCCCGAGCUCUUGCUCAGGGCCCCAAGACAGUUGAUGUGCCAGCCUCCCUCCCAACACCACCUCAUAACAAUCAGGAAGAAUUAAGGAUACAGGAUCACUGUGGUGAUCGAGAUACUCCUGACAGUUUUGUUCCCUCAUCCUCUCCUGAGAGUGUGGUUGAGGUAGAAGUGAGCAGGUAUCCAGAUCUGUCAUUGGUCAAGGAGGAGCCUCCAGAACCGGUGCGGUGUCCCCCAUCAUUCCAAUUCUUCCUAGCACUGCUGGGAAAAGUUCAGAAUCAAGAAGGAAUGACAUCAAAACUGAGCCAGGCACUUUAUAUUUUGCGUCACCUUUUGGUCCUUCCCCAAAUGUCCCAGAUCAGGUCUUAUAUCUGUAGCAAUUACUCUGCAUCCUACAGCUGCUGAGAACAUUAGCAGUGUUGUGGCUGCAUUUUCCGACCUUCUUCACGUCCGAAUCCCUAACAGCUAUGAGGGUAGCAAUACUCCAGAUGUCCCAUCCAUGGGUUUGGUCAGUAGCCACAGAAUCAACCCGGGUUUGGAGUAUCGACAGCAUUUACUUUUCCGUGAGCCUCCGCCAGGAUCUGCAAACCCUCCCAGAUUAGUGAGCUCUUACCGGCUGAAGCAGCCUAAUGUACCAUUUCCUCCAACAAGCAAUGGUCUUUCUGGAUAUAAGGAUUCUAGUCAUGGUAUUGCAGAAAGUGCAGCACUCAGACCACAGUGGUGUUGUCAUUGUAAAGUGGUUAUUCUUGGAAGUGGUGUGCGGAAAUCUUUCAAAGAUCUGACCCUUUUGAACAAGGAUUCCUGAGAAAGCACCAAGAGGGUAGAGAAGGACAUUGUCUUCUGUAGUAAUAACUGCUUUAUUCUUUAUUCAUCAACUGCACAAGCGAAAAACUCAGAAACCAAGGAAUCCAUUCCUUCAUUGCCACAAUCACCUAUGAGAGAAACGCCUUCCAAAGCAUUUCAUCAGUACAGCAACAACAUCUCCACUUUGGAUGUGCACUGUCUUCCUCAGCUCCCGGAGAAAGCUUCUCCCCCUGCCUCACCACCCAUCGCCUUCCCUCCUGCUUCUGAAGCAGCCCAAGUCGAGGCCAAGCCAGAUGAGCUGAAGGUGACAGUCAAGCUGAAGCCUCGGCUAAGAGCUGUCCAUGGUGGGUUUGAAGAUUGCAGGCCGCUCAAUAAAAAAUGGAGAGGAAUGAAAUGGAAGAAGUGGAGCAUUCAUAUGGUAAUCCCUAAGGGGACAUUUAAACCACCUUGUGAGGAUGAAAUAGAUGAAUUUCUAAAGAAAUUGGGCACUUCCCUUAAAGCUGAUCCUGUGCCCAAAGACUAUCGGAAGUGUUGCUUUUGUCAUGAAGAAGGUGAUGGAUUGACAGAUGGACCAGCAAGGCUACUCAACCUUGACUUGGAUCUGUGGGUCCACUUGAACUGCGCUCUGUGGUCCACGGAGGUCUAUGAGACUCAGGCUGGUGCCUUAAUAAAUGUGGAGCUAGCUCUGAGGAGAGGCCUACAAAUGAAAUGUGUCUUCUGUCACAAGACAGGUGCCACUAGUGGAUGCCACAGAUUUCGACGCACCAACAUUUAUCACUUUACUUGCGCCAUUAAAGCACAAUGCAUGUUUUUUAAGGACAAAACUAUGCUUUGCCCCAUGCACAAACCAAAGGGAAUUCAUGAGCAAGAAUUAAGUUACUUUGCAGUCUUUAGGAGGGUCUAUGUUCAGCGUGAUGAGGUGCGACAGAUUGCUAGCGUCGUGCAACGAGGAGAACGGGACCAUACCUUUCGCGUGGGUAGCCUCAUCUUCCACACAAUCGGUCAGCUGCUUCCACAGCAGAUGCAAGCAUUCCAUUCUCCUAAAGCAGUCUUCCCUGUGGGCUAUGAAGCCAGCCGGCUGUACUGGAGCACGCGCUAUGCCAACAGGCGCUGCCGCUACCUGUGCUCCAUCGAGGAGAAGGAUGGGCGCCCAGUGUUUGUCAUCAGGAUUGUGGAACAAGGCCAUGAAGACCUGGUUCUAAGUGACAUCUCACCUAAAGGUGUCUGGGAUAAGAUUUUGGAGCCUGUGGCAUGUGUGAGAAAAAAGUCUGAAAUGCUCCAGCUUUUCCCAGCAUAUUUAAAAGGAGAGGAUCUGUUUGGCCUGACCGUCUCUGCAGUGGCACGCAUAGCGGAAUCACUACCUGGGGUUGAGGCAUGUGAAAACUAUACCUUCUGAUACGGCCAAAAUCCUCUCAUGGAACUUCCUCUUGCCGUUAACCCCACAGGUUGUGCCUGUUCUGAACCUAAAAUGAGUGCCCAUGUCAAGAGGCCUCACACCUUAAACAGCACCAGCACCUCAAAGUCAUUUCAGAGCACAGUCACUGGAGAACUGAACGCACCUUAUAGUAAACAGUUUGUUCACUCCAAGUCAUCACAGUACCGGAAGAUGAAGACUGAAUGGAAAUCCAAUGUGUAUCUGGCACGGUCUCGGAUUCAGGGGCUGGGCCUGUAUGCUGCUAGAGACAUUGAGAAGCACACCAUGGUCAUUGAGUAUAUCAGGACUAUCAUUCGAAAUGAAGUAGCAAACAGAAAAGAGAAACUUUAUGAGUCUCAGAACCGUGGUGUGUACAUGUUCCGCAUGGAUAACGACCACGUGAUUGAUGCCACGCUCACAGGAGGGCCUGCAAGGUAUAUCAACCAUUCGUGUGCACCUAAUUGUGUGGCUGAAGUGGUGACUUUUGAGAGAGGACACAAAAUUAUCAUCAGCUCCAAUCGGAGAAUCCAGAAAGGAGAAGAGCUCUGCUAUGACUAUAAGUUUGACUUUGAAGAUGACCAGCACAAGAUUCCGUGUCACUGUGGAGCUGUGAACUGCUGGAAGUGGAUGAACUGAAAUGCAUUCCUUGCUAGCUCAGCGGGCGGCUUGUCCCUAGGAAGAGGCGAUUCAACACACCAUUGGAAUUUUGCAGACAGAAAGAUAUUUUUGUUUUCUGUUUUAUGACUUUUUGAAAAAGCUUCUGGGAGUUCUGAUUUCCUCAGUCCUUUAGGUUAAAGAAGCGCCAGGAGGAAGCUGACAGAAGCAGCGUUCCUGAAGUGGCCGAGGUUAAACGGAAUUACAGAAUGGUCCAGCACUUUUGCUUU